rnacentral:pre_miRNA from 1 species
UUAAUACUCCCUCUGUCCAAAAUUACUUGUCGUCAAAAUGGAUGUAUCUAGAACUAAAAUAUGUCUAGAACUUUAGAUACAUCUAUUUUUAUGACAAGUAAUUCCGGAGAGAGGGAGUACAAA